rnacentral:rRNA from 1 species
UACGUAGGGGGCAAGCGUUGUCCGGAUUCAUUGGGCGUAAAGAGCGUGUAGGCGGCCAGGUAGGUCGGUUGUGAAAACUGGAGGCUCAACCUUCAGAGGUCGACCGAAACCAUCUGGCUAGAGUCCGGGAGAGGAGAGUGGAAUUCCUGGUGUAGCGGUGAAAUGCGCAGAUAUCAGGAAGAACACCCGUGGCGAAAGCGGCUCUCUGGGCCUUACCUGACGCUCAGGCGCGAAAGCUAGGGGAGCGAACUGG